rnacentral:rRNA from 1 species
CCCGCAACGAGCGCAACCCCUAUUGCUAGUUACCAUCAUUAAGUUGGGGACGUCUAGCGAGACUGCCAGUGAUAAACUGGAGGAAGGUGGGGAUGACGUCAAAUCAUCAUGCCCCUUAUGACCUGGGCUACAAACGUGAUACAAUGGCUGGAACAAAGGGAUGCGAAGCAGUGAUGUGGAGCGAAACCCAUAAAAACAGUCUCAGUUCGGAUUGAAGUCUGCAACUCGACUUCAUGAAGUCGGAAUCGCUAGUAAUCGCGGAUCAGAACGCCGCGGUGAAUGCGUUCCCGGGUCUU